AUUAUUUUCCCACUAUCCCUCCCCAGCAGCAGUGUUAGCAUACCAACCACAUAACCACCAAGUGAUUAUAUGAAGGUGCUUUAUUCAGCGCUGGAAGCCAGGGCAGGUGCCCAAAUCUGGCUUCCAGUCCCGUUACAUCCCGAUUGUUAUUUAUACAUUCAAUAUUAUGUAAGGUAUACAUAUUCAUUACAGGUUGCAACAUCAGCCUCGCAUUCCAUUCUAAUUAGCUCUCCUCCCAUUUGCACAUGCGUAGUGCUCUCUGGUGGUCAUCCAGGUGGUCGUCCAGAUGAAGUAAGGAGUCUUCCUCUCUGUUAAAUUUUUCACCUUUCUCACUUGACGCAUGCUCUCUCCGCUCCUUGGUUCUGGUUCAACUCAUUUCAGCAUUUUCAGGUUGUUAUCAAAGGUCAGGUUGUACCUGUUCUCUCACAGGGAUCCCUUUCAAGGAUUCAUUUGACUGUUCAGUAUACUCCCUAAAUAUCUUAGUAUAGAUAAAUUUGAUAAUGUAAUUACA